AUCUGAGCUACAUCCCCUUCUUGGAAGAUUAGGUCCUUUUUUUUCCUUUUAAUUUAGCUGUUAAUUUUUUGUAUUUUUACCUACGACUACUGGAAAAAAAAAACAAAAAAAGGACCUAAUCUUUCAAGAAGGGGAUGUAGCUCAGAU
rnacentral:miRNA from 1 species